CCGUGCUCUCGCGCGCCGCGCAGCAUGGCGUUCCUGGUAGCUUGGGUUUGGGAGGUAGCUGUGGCGUGGGAUCUAGGGUUUUCGCGGCAGCCUUCGGCCUACGUUCCCUUCCCGGAAAAGGGGGAGAUGACGCGGACUCGGUGGCCGUGUGAGGAGCAGGGCCCGCGGGACCCCGCGUGAAGCGGGUGGGUGUGGAGCGCUGUUUGGGAUGUAGAUCUUCGCCAUAUGCCCAGGCGCACAACGGGGCAGAAGUGGAGCGAACAUCCAGGUGACAAGGUGGGUGCCUGAAGCUGACGGAUACUCCCUGAACGACACGCGGGAGUACAAAGUCGCUUAAGGAUGUCCUUGAUUUGGAAAUUUGAUCUUCAGAAGCAUGAGCAAUUUAAGUUUUCUGGGAAGCCUGUCAAAACUCCACACAGAUGAAUACGCAUUUGUAACAAGACUAUGAAUAAAUACUUUGAUAAGCUGUUC